rnacentral:misc_RNA from 1 species
AAGUCGUAACAAUGUUUCCGUAGGUGAACCUGCGGAAGGAUCAUUAACACGUAUCCAAACGUUAAAACAACCCUGUGAACCUUCUUCUUGCAGGACAUCAAAACAGCAAUCCCGAGUAAAUCAAUUACAGAUUUUGAUUUUGGGAAGUUCUGUGUGUACGUGGACGCUGCAAUUGAGCGCUAGAUAAAGCACCCUGGUACCCUAGAGCACUCCCCUGUCUGAAAGCGGCAGGGAUCAAUGUUCAGGGUGGGGCAGUCAACGAUCGCUGUAGGGUGGAGGCGAAAGCCCCUCCGUCAUCCCUCCGAGACUUGGCGAAAGCUGACUCCGUCAUAAAUCGAACGACUGUUACAAUGGAUAUCUUGGUUCUC